rnacentral:tRNA from 1 species
UCCCAGAUGGCUCAGUGGUAAAGAAUCUGCCUGCCAAGCAGGAGAUGCAGGUUAAUCCUGGAUUGGGAA